CCCCGUCAUGCCGGUGGUAAAGCUCCUGAGCGACCCCAACAAGUACCAACAGGACGAUAAGGUCCUGCUGAUGUGCCUCGUCGAGGGGAAGGCGGUUAGCAACGCCCAGGUGCAAUGGCUGAUGAACCACAACGUGAUGAACCUGAACCAGGAGGACUACACCUGCGACCAGUGCUCCGACAGCAAGGCCGCGUUUAUGAGCCAGGUCAACGUCAGCCGGCAGAGCUGGGACCUCGGGGCCGAGUUCUCUUGCAAAGUGACCCACCCGCUGCUGAAGGCCCCGAGCGAGGACCCGGCCUUAUCCCGCCUCACCAGCGUCCUGAAGAUCUGCGCCGACGAGUGGAACUCCGGCGAGAAGUUCACCUGCUCCGUCACCGUCCCCCAGCUCGGCGAGCCCAUCGUCAAGUCUGUUAAGAAAAACAUAGACGUCUCCGUGAAGGCUCCUUCCGUCUACGUCUUCCCCCCGCCGGCUGAGGAGUUGGCCCGGCAAGAGACGGCCACCUUGACCUGCCUGGCUUUGGGUUUCCGCCCCCGCGACAUCUUGGUGACCUGGACCCAACAGGACCGUCCCGUGUCCGCCGGCAGCUACUCCAUCUUCGGGCCUCAGGAGGAAGGAGGCACCUACACGGUCUACAGCAAGUUGAACGUGCCGGCGGCCGACUGGCAACGGGGCGACUCCUUCGCCUGCGUGGGGCACGACGGCAUCCCCAUGAACUUC